AACAACCUCUGUCUCCCAAGGUCUCUCACUCCCUCCCUCUCUCUCGCUCUCUUUUUCUCCACCACUCACUUGCCCUCUCCCAGGCUUUAAAGUUCCGUUCGGUACACUUUCACUCUACCUCCGUCUCUGUCCCUCCCUUUCUCUCAGUGGUCCCCCCACCCCUCUUUUUCUUGUCUUCCUUGUUUUGCUCUCACUCUGAUAGCGUGUCCCUGCCAUGUGCUUGACUGUCCCUCUCUCUGGCCUGGGCAGUUUGCUCUCUACGUGAAGACGAGAGGUCGGCCUCGGCAUCCCCCUUCCUUUUUUGGCACGACCUCACUCGGGCUCUUUCGUUUUUAUUCUUGGAUUCUCCCAAGCUGCUCCUGCCAAGCUACGCUGAAGUUUGAGCAUGAAGGCAGAGGAAGAAAUCCACCGACUAACUGUAUCUGUGUGCGUGUGUGUGUGUGUGUGUGAUAUCAUCAGUCUGCAAGUGUUUAUGCGGGACUUUGCACUUGCAAAUUGAAGCAACCAGGUAGAAAGUCAUCAAGAAGCGGCAGAGGCGGCACUGCGAGGGAGUUGAACGGGUUCAUCCGUGAGUGAGUGUGUGUGAGCGAGAGAGCGGGAGGAAGCUGAGCGAGGAGUGGGAGAAUCUGGCCGACUACAGCUGUCGCAGGCGCCAUCUGAAGACCAGACAACUUUCAUUUUCCUUUUUUUUUUUUUGAAUUUGUGAUGUUGCUUUAUUUUCUAUUGUACAUGUGUGUGUCUUUGUGUCAGUGCGCGCGCGGCGAUGGGAUGGGGCUGCACUCGUUGCCCCCUCGUCUUCCUCCACAUGGAAGCCGCCGAGACCGACGGCUAGGACAGCGUGCCUCCCCUUUGUGGCUGCCCUUGGGCCGACUUGCUCCUAUGCUGGGUGCGGCACUGCAGCGCGCCUUCCUUCAGGGGAGCGCUGAGAGGCCCCCGGAGGGCCAAGCUGCACCGGAGAGAGGAUCCCAAUUAGCUAGAUGGCUCGCCGGUUUACGGCAACAGGGGCCAACUCGUGGUCUUUCCGCGGAGGGCUGGAUGGUGGCCGCGUUGCGAUGUCAUCGGAGCCGAGGAUCACCUCGCCACGGAGGCUUUCCGACUUUCAAGUUGCGUCUGGACUUUGCCGCUCGUGCUCUGAUUCUCAGCAUGGGUGUGUGUGAGUAAACCGUGCGUGGUGACGGAAAUUUCUAAUUGGAGUAUUGCCAAGGAACCUGCGUCACUCAGGUGUGUCCUGAACACACGGGACGUGAAAACCAGUGAGAUUAGGGAACAAUGAGGCAACCGAGUGGGCGUAGAAAACCAACUAUGUACCUGACACACACACACACACACACACCUUGAGUUUGACCUAUUUUAUAAGAGCGCUACCCUCCAAUCUAAGCUCGCUUAAAACUCAAGCAGGAAUAAACCUUUUAGAAUAAAUGCUUCAUGGCGUGAUGUCAUUGCACAAAUAUGCUUCAGCCAUAUGCGUCAUAGCCUGGAAUGUCAAUAGCAUCAAGAAUUUAUAUAGAUUCCUUGAAUGAGUAAUUACAAUGUCAGUUUGGUGCGUGAGAAUCACCUCCCUUGUAAACCUGUCGACUCUUAAAUUCUCCUUCCGACUUCCUGGCAGAUUUUGAUUAUGGCUCAAUCAUAUAAAACGAGUCGUUAACUCGAAAAAAAAAAAGGCUGUACUCUCACACACGCUGAGGGCUAAAAAAGCAAUGACAUGAAGCCAAGGUCUGAAACUGAAGCAUUGUUUGAGAUUUCAACUGGAGUGUUUUGGAUUGAGCCACUGCUGAGAUGUCCUGCUGACUCAUGGGCAGAAAUGAUUACAUUUAUUUGAUACGUCAAGGGACUUAUAUAUGGACCAGGUCCAGGGUCAAGCCUCUUAAAGAGAACAAUCACAUCUGAGCAAGAACAUGUUUUCAUGAAGAAACCUUCAAGUCAUUGUUGGGUGGCCAUCUGCCUCGGAUGGUUGAGUUCAGAACAUUACACAUGAUGGUAGUCCUCUGAUAGUGAUAGGUAGUACAUUUUAUUUACAAAACAUUUUUCACAGAGAUAGCUUGUUAACUGCUUCGCAUAUUGUAGUCGACAUAUUGUGCAUUAAAUCACAGCAUUUGAAAUUCGACAAGUAACGCAAGAAAAACACAAAUCAAAAUAAAUUUGAAUAAUUAUAAAUCGAAACAAUUGAGUCUGACUGGAAUGACUCCCGAAACAAAUGUCUUUACUAAUUUAAUAAUAAAAUAAUAAUAGUAAUAAGUUUUAAACCUAGACAUGUGCUUAAAUUCAAUUGAAGGAAAAUUACGUUUUUAUUUAUUUUGAUGACAUUUUUGUGUAAAUUAUUCAUCCACUAGCUUUGAACAAUUUAUUUUUUGAAUAGGAAAUAACCAUUAUAACAUCUUCGUCCAAGGAUUGUGAAGUAAGAAGGCAGCGAUUGACAGCAAGUAUGUAUGGAUUUUAUGUUCAUGAAUGCUUAUUUGUAUCUUAUCUUAAGUCCGUGAAUAAUUAUUUUUUUGGGGGUGUAUGUAUUUGACAAGCAAUAACAGUUUUGUUGUAGCUUGAGUUAUUAAUAAAGUCUUAAAAAUCUG